rnacentral:rRNA from 1 species
UACGGAGGGGGCUAGCGUUAUUCGGAAUCACUGGGCGUAAAGCGCGUGUAGGCGGCCUGUAAAGUCAGAGGUGAAAUCCCGGAGCUUAACUUCGGAAUUGCCUUUGAAACUCAUAGGCUAGAAUUCGGUAGAGGAUAGUGGAAUUCCUAGUGUAGAGGUGAAAUUCGUAGAUAUUAGGAGGAACACCAGUGGCGAAGGCGACUGUCUGGGCCGAUAUUGACGCUAAGACGCGAAAGCGUGGGGAGCAAACAGG